rnacentral:tRNA from 1 species
GGCCCGUUGGUCUAGCGGCAGGAUGCGAGACCCUCAAUCUCGCGGCACGGGUUCGAAUCCCGUACGGGCUAC